GCGGCAGGCCUAACACAUGCAAGUCGAACGGUAACAGGAAGAAGCUUGCUUCUUUGCUGACGAGUGGCGGACGGGUGAGUAAUGUCUGGGAAACUGCCUGAUGGAGGGGGAUAACUACUGGAAACGGUAGCUAAUACCGCAUAACGUCGCAAGACCAAAGAGGGGGACCUUCGGGCCUCUUGCCAUCGGAUGUGCCCAGAUGGGAUUAGCUGUGGUGGGGUAACGGCUCACCAGGCGACGAUCCCUAGCUGGUCUGAGAGGAUGACCAGCCACACUGGAACUGAGACACGGUCCAGACUCCUACGGGAGGCAGCAGUGGGGAAUAUUGCACAAUGGGCGCAAGCCUGAUGCAGCCAUGCCGCGUGUAUGAAGAAGGCCUUCGGGUUGUAAAGUACUUUCAGCGGGGAGGAAGGGAGUAAAGUUAAUACCUUUGCUCAUUGACGUUACCCGCAGAAGAAGCACCGGCUAACUCCGUGCCAGCAGCCGCGGUAAUACGGAGGGUGCAAGCGUUAAUCGGAAUUACUGGGCGUAAAGCGCACGCAGGCGGUUUGUUAAGUCAGAUGUGAAAUCCCCGGGCUCAACCUGGGAACUGCAUCUGAUACUGGCAAGCUUGAGUCUCGUAGAGGGGGGUAGAAUUCCAGGUGUAGCGGUGAAAUGCGUAGAGAUCUGGAGGAAUACCGGUGGCGAAGGCGGCCCCCUG
rnacentral:rRNA from 1 species